GCAUGAUUUGAUGCAUGAUCUUGCAACUUUGGUUGCUGGGAAAGAGAUUAGCAUAAUGAAUUCUAAAGAAAAAAGUGUUGAUGAAAGAGUGCGUCAUGUGAAAUUGGACUUUCGUUUAGAUUCAUCAGACAUAAUCCCUGUUGUUUUAAGUAUUCCGAAAAAAUUGAGAAGUUUUAUUUUGCCACAUCAAGAAUUCUAUGAUCAUGAUGCAAUUCGUAUUUUUUCAAACUUUAAGCAGUUGCGCGUCUGUGGUAUGCAAGAUUGUAGAAUGACAGAAGUGUCUAGUUCCAUAGAAAGUCUAAAACAUUUGAGAUAUCUUGAUGUUUCA
rnacentral:misc_RNA from 1 species